GGCGUGCUUAACACAUGCAAGUCGAACGAACCUUCGGGUUAGUGGCGGACGGGUGAGUAACGCGUGGGAAUCUGCCCUCAGGAGGGGGAUAACGGCUGGAAACGGCCGCUAAUACCCCAUAUGCCGAGAGGUGAAAUGAAUUUCGCCUGAGGAUGAGCCCGCGUCUGAUUAGCUAGUUGGUGGGGUAAAGGCCCACCAAGGCGACGAUCAGUAGCUGGUCUGAGAGGAUGAUCAGCCACACUGGGACUGAGACACGGCCCAGACUCCUACGGGAGGCAGCAGUGGGGAAUUUUCCGCAAUGGGCGAAAGCCUGACGGAGCAACGCCGCGUGAGGGAUGAAGGCCUCUGGGCUGUAAACCUCUUUUCUCAAGGAAGAAGACAUGACGGUACUUGAGGAAUAAGCCACGGCUAAUUCCGUGCCAGCAGCCGCGGUAAUACGGGAGUGGCAAGCGUUAUCCGGAAUUAUUGGGCGUAAAGCGUCCGCAGGCGGCCUUGUAAGUCUGUCGUUAAAGCGUGGAGCUUAACUCCAUUUAAGCGAUGGAAACUACAAGGCUUGAGUGUGGUAGGGGCAGAGGGAAUUCCCGGUGUAGCGGUGAAAUGCGUAGAUAUCGGGAAGAACACCAGUGGCGAAGGCGCUCUGCUGGGCCAUAACUGACGCUCAUGGACGAAAGCCAGGGGAGCGAAAGGGAUUAGAUACCCCUGUAGUCCUGGCCGUAAACGAUGAACACUAGGUGUCGGGGGAAUCGACCCCCUCGGUGUCGUAGCCAACGCGUUAAGUGUUCCGCCUGGGGAGUACGCACGCAAGUGUGAAACUCAAAGGAAUUGACGGGGGCCCGCACAAGCGGUGGAGUAUGUGGUUUAAUUCGAUGCAACGCGAAGAACCUUACCAGGGUUUGACAUCCUGCGAAUCCCUUGGAAACGAGGGAGUGCCUUCGGGAGCGCAGAGACAGGUGGUGCAUGGCUGUCGUCAGCUCGUGUCGUGAGAUGUUGGGUUAAGUCCCGCAACGAGCGCAACCCACGUCUUUAGUUGCCAGCAUUCAGUUGGGCACUCUAGAGAGACCGCCGGUGAUAAACCGGAGGAAGGUGUGGAUGACGUCAAGUCAUCAUGCCCCUUACAUCCUGGGCUACACACGUACUACAAUGCUACGGACAAAGGGCAGCAAGCUCGCGAGAGUUAGCAAAUCCCAUAAACCGUGGCUCAGUUCAGAUCGUAGGCUGCAACUCGCCUACGUGAAGGAGGAAUCGCUAGUAAUCGCAGGUCAGCAUACUGCGGUGAAUACGUUCCCGGGCCUUGUACACACCGCCCGUCACACCAUGGAAGUUGGCCAUGCCCGAAGUCGUUACUCCAACCCUUGUGGAGGAGGACGCCGAAGGUGGGGCUGAUGACUGGGGUGAAGUCGUAACAAGGUAGCCGUACCGGAAGGUGCGGCUGGAUCACCUCCUAA
rnacentral:rRNA from 1 species